rnacentral:rRNA from 1 species
CCUACGGGUGGCUGCAGUGGGGAAUUUUGGACAAUGGGGGCAACCCUGAUCCAGCCAUGCCGCGUGAGUGAAGAAGGCCUUCGGGUUGUAAAGCUCUUUCGGCCGGGAAGAAAUCGUGCGGGCUAAUACCCUGUAUGGAUGACGGUACCGGAAGAAGAAGCACCGGCUAACUACGUGCGAGCAGCCGCGGUAAUACGUAGGGUGCUAGCGUUAAUCGGAAUUAGCGGGCGUAGAGCGUGCGCAGGCGGUUGAAAUCCCCGGGCUUAACCUGGGAACUGCGUUUGUGACUGCGAGACUUGAGUGCGGCAGAGGGGGGUGGAAUUCCACGUGUAGCAGUGAAAUGCGUAGAGAUGUGGAGGAACACCGAUGGCGAAGGCAGCCCCCUGGGUCGACACUGACGCUCAUGCACGAAAGCGUGGGGAGCAAACAGGAUUAGAUACCCGGGUAGUC